CCUGCUGCUCCAGCUGCUGCAGAUGCUGCUACUGCUGCAGCUGCAGCAGGAGAAGGAAGAGCAGCAACAGGAGAAGAGAAAUUCGACGCAGCACCUUCUGCUGCU
rnacentral:snoRNA from 1 species